rnacentral:rRNA from 1 species
CACGUAGGGCGCAAGCGUUGUCCGGAAUUACUGGGCGUAAAGAGCUCGUAGGUGGUUUGUCGCGUUGUCCGUGAAAACUCACAACUCAAUUGUGGGCGUGCGGGCGAUACGGGCAGACUGGAGUACUGCAGGGGAGACUGGAAUUCCUGGUGUAGCGGUGGAAUGCGCAGAUAUCAGGAGGAACACCGAUGGCGAAGGCAGAUCUCUGGGCCGUAACUGACGCUGAGGAGCGAAAGCAUGGGGAGCGAACAGG